UACGAAGGGGGCUAGCGUUGCUCGGAAUCACUGGGCGUAAAGGGUGCGUAGGCGGGUCUUUUAAGUCAGGGGUGAAAUCCUGGAGCUCAACUCCAGAACUGCCUUUGAUACUGAAGAUCUUGAGUUCGGGAGAGGUGAGUGGAACUGCGAGUGUAGAGGUGAAAAUUCGUAGAUAUUCGCAAGAACACCAGUGGCGAAAGGCGGCUCACUGGCCCCGAUAUGACGCUGAGGCACGAAAAGCGUGGGGGAGCAAAACAGG
rnacentral:rRNA from 1 species